UCUGCCGUGGGCGCUGGAGAACUGAGGGGGGCUGCUCCUAGUACGAGAGGACCGGAGUGGACGCAUCACUGGUGUUCGGGUUGUCAUGCCAAUGGCACUGCCCGGUAGCUACAUGCGGAAGAGAUAAGUGCUGAAAGCAUCUAAGCACGAAACUUGCCCCGAGAUGAGUUCUCCCUGAGACUUAGAGUCUCCUGAAGGAACGUUGAAGACGACGACGUUGAUAGGCCGGGUGUGUAAGCGCAGCGAUGCGUUGAGCUAACCGGUACUAAUGAACCGUGAGGCUUAACCUU
rnacentral:rRNA from 1 species